rnacentral:ncRNA from 1 species
AAAACUCUGGAAAGUCUAAUGUAUAAAAGACACCGACGAAGCAAUCUUAAAUGUAGUAGGAGAAUCUUUCAGGUAAAAAGACAGAGGCG